CAGUGAUCCACUAACUUUUCCUAUCAGAGAUCUAGACGGACCUGAAAAUAGCACCUCCUGUAGUUCCCGCCUAAACAGUAUCGAAAGAUUGAUCUAGAAGCUUUGACAGAGUUUUAGCUCUUUAUGUCUGCCACAUUGACUUUCUGAUGAAUAAAGGAAAAAAUCGUAGGUGAUAAGGUGACGUUUGCAGAGCGGCGUCUAUUGAAUAUCAUACCUUUAUGUUUGAAGCUGAGACCGGCGAUAUUCCCAAGUAAUACGGCAGAUGAAGACACAAGUUUUAGUAAGGGAGGGCUCCUGCAGAGAUCAAUUCACGGACGCUAAUGUUGCCUUGAAUUAUAGUAUGAUAACCGACAGAGUGACGUUUGCAGAGCGGCGUCUAUUGAAUAUCAUACCUUUAUGUUUGAAGCUGAGACCGGCGAUAUUCCCAAGUAAUACGGCAGAUGAAGACACAAGUUUUAGUAAGGGAGGGCUCCUGCAGAGAUCAAUUCACGGACGCUAAUGUUGCCUUGAAUUAUAGUAUGAUAACCGACAGAGUAAGUUUGUAUUAUAUGAUUAGUGUUUGUGAAGUUAAGUUGUAAAUCAAGUCGGAGGUUUUGUGAUGUAUAAGUAUAAUGUCUUGAUAAAUGAUUCAAAUUUCUGAUUGUCUCUAAAUAGACUUAGUGAAGACAGAUUCUAAUAGAAAUAAAUAGUUGAAUAACGUAUCGACAUAACUACGUCAUACUCAUAUCCUCAAUAAAUGUAAUGGAUUUGUAGUGUUGUAAUUAGUUUAAGCUAA